rnacentral:rRNA from 1 species
CCUACGGGAGGCAGCAGUGGGGAAUAUUGCACAAUGGGGGAAACCCUGAUGCAGCAACGCCGCGUGAAGGAAGACGGUUUUCGGAUUGUAAACUUCUGUUCUUAGUGAAGAAUAAUGACGGUAGCUAAGGAGCAAGCCACGGCUAACUACGUGCCAGCAGCCGCGGUAAUACGUAGGUGGCAAGCGUUGUCCGGAUUUAUUGGGUUUAAAGGGUGCGUAGGCGGGCUGUUAAGUCAGCGGUAAAAGCCCGGGGCUCAACCCCGGCGAGCCGUUGACACUGGCUGUCUUGAGAUGUCGAGAGGUAUGCGGAAUGCGCAGUGUAGCGGUGAAAUGCUUAGAUAUCACGAAGAACCCCGAUUGCGAAGGCAGCUUACUAAACUGUGACUGACAUUGAUGCUCGAAAGUGUGGGUAUCAAACAGGAUUAGAUACCCCUGUAGUC